CUAAAAGGUUAGAGCAAACCAGAUGAGCGGCUGAGAUCUUGCGAGAGCUGUGAGCUGUGCGUAAGUAAAAUGGCGGCAUACAUGUAGUUCAAAAUUAAAUCCACUCAGGGAGCAAACUGGAAGAAGAGACCUUGACGAGCCUGGAGAGCUACCUGGACGAGUGUUUUGACAACAUCGUGAUGGGGAAGAAAAAAAA